UACGGAAGGCAGCAGUAGGGAAUCUUCCGCAAUGGACGAAAGUCUGACGGAGCAACGCCGCGUGAACGAUGAAGGCUUUCGGGUCGUAAAGUUCUGUUGUUAGGGAAGAACAAGUACCAGAGUAACUGCUGGUACCUUGACGGUACCUAACCAGAAAGCCACGGCUAACUACGUGCCAGCAGCCGCGGUAAUACGUAGGUGGCAAGCGUUGUCCGGAAUUAUUGGGCGUAAAGCGCGCGCAGGUGGUCCUUUUAAAGUCUGAUGUGAAAGCCCACGGCUCAACCGUGGAGGGUCAUUGGAAACUGGGGACUUGAGUGCAGAAGAGGAAAGUGGAAUUCCACGUGUAGCGGUGAAAUGCGUAGAGAUGUGGAGGAACACCAGUGGCGAAAGGGCGACUUUUCUGGGUCUGUAACUGACACUGAGGCGCGAAAGCGUGGGGAGCGAACAGGGAUUAGAUACC
rnacentral:rRNA from 1 species